rnacentral:lncRNA from 1 species
GCUAAAAAUGAGGUAAUACCUAAUGCCACAGAGGGAUGCUGCAAGGGCUGCAGAGAGGAGUCUCACCAGAGAGCUGAAGGACAGCCGCUGCCCAGUGGUUGCCCACCCUCCUUCCGUGCAGCCCCCCCACUGUUGCUCAGUGCCUCCCUGCAGUGCCCAUACCACACUUCCCUGUGUGCUUUCAGCAAGGCAUGUUGUGCACACAUGCACUUCUCCUCUUGCAUACCCAUAUCCUCACCGGUGUUACGGCCUUCAUAACCCUUUCUUCCUCCAUACCUUUCUACAAUGUGCACAUCUGCAUUAAAGCACACUCUGCUCACUGCCUUAGGAGAGAUAACCUCCAAGGUUACUUGCAGCCAAGGCUGCAAAACAGCACUCUAGACAUUGCCUCUUUCCUCUGAUUAUUCCCAAAGCAGUGUAUGGAUGAGACUACAAGCAGGAUGGGGGGCAUGGGAGGUACCCA